UGCCGUGAUGGUGUAAUUUGCGUCUGACUCUGUGACCAGCGACCAAGCGCCUAAUGGUCAUAAGCUGGCCAGAUGGCUGACGAACACGGAGUCUGAGCA
ensembl:snoRNA SNORD16 Small nucleolar RNA SNORD16